UUGCCUUAUUUUUCCUAUUCAAGCCCAAUCCUUCUGCCUUGCACAAUUCUCUCCCCAAUGGAAAUAAGCGCUCUUCAAUCUCAAACCUCCCUGCCUUGCUUGAUUCUCUCUCUAGUAGCCAUAAACACUCUUCAAUCCCAAACCUCCCUGCCUUGCACAAUUCUCUCUCCAGCAGCCAUAAGUUCUCUUCAAUUUGAAGAUUCAAGAUUGUUGUAGUCACGCCCGAGUCUUCUUCAAUCUCCAGUGAAAGAAUCAUUAGUGGAGUUCAGCCCUCUUUCUCUUUCAUCACUUCCAGUUCCGCCGUAUUCCAGCAGAGACAUUUGUGGCAGCUACGAUUUCAUUGCCUAAAGUCUAAAGCCACAGUUUUAUGGGCCUUUAGUAGGAAAAGUCAACCACUGUGUUACGCAUUAGAAGGGAUUUUCUAAAUGCAACUAGAGAUUUCUCAUGUAAUUGAUGGACAUAUGAAAGAAAGUGUUAGAAACAAAGACAAUUAGGAAUUCAUGGAAUCGUCUAUGGUUGGAAUUGCACCAACUUCAAUUAUAAGCCACUACCUGUUUCUCACUCAUGUAACGGUUAAGGUGUAACCGCUAGUCAUUAUCUGCUAUGUUAUAAUCAACAAUUUGAACUUAUCCUAUAAAGAACCGUUUUACAAU